UGGCAGCAAAGUGAAGCAGGCUGACCUGGUUCAUUCCCGCGUCCCUUCUCCCAAAAAACAAUGGCAUUAAUCCAACUUUGAUUCUUUCCUCUUCAACAACUUCACCUCUCAUUCUCCAAAUUUUCUAUUCUUUUCUUCCUUUAACUCACCCAAACGACUCAUUCAACUCCACUCCACCUAAUAUCAACCUUUUUUUCCCUUCUCAAAAUCAUCACAUGACUCUCUGUUUCUUCAAUCAUCACCAUUAACCAUGUCUUUCUUCUGUUUCUCCUUCCUUCUUUCCCUUUUUAUCUUCCCUUCUGCUUCACAAUCCUUAAGAGGUGUUUUGAUUGAUUGUGGUGCUGUGGUUG
rnacentral:misc_RNA from 1 species